rnacentral:lncRNA from 1 species
GGGCACCCCUGAAGGACCAUAUCCACUGUGGACCCCCUUGGGAUCAGCCGAGUGACUCGAAGGAAUUGGGUCUUGAGACACAGCCGAGCCUGUGAGCGCUGACCUGUGUAAAGAAGACACCAGAAUGAGAUGUCUCCACACACAGAGAGCUGCAGCCGAUGCCGGCCGGUGACUUGGGACUUGGAUGCUUAACAGGAGGCUCCCCCUCUCUUGGGAGGUAGAGAGCAGUGAGGAAGGGGACUCAGCCUCCAUGCCUCCCGCCAGCCCAGCUGCGCCCGAAUCACCUCCCUCCUGAAAGGAUGUCAGCCUCUGCUUGGACACCGUGGAGACAGGGCCCUCCUUGUGCUUCAGAAGCAUCAACGUGUCAGAAAAUCAUCUUCACGCCAAGUCUGGAAAAAAUGGCUUUGAGGUUGUGCACACAAAGGAAGGAGGGAGAGCCCCAGGUGUCGCGGAGGACCAUGCGGCUGACAGAGCCAGCAGGGCGGUGGCGUGUGAGCCGUGCUCUGGAUAUAUAAGGAUCUGACGCUGCUGGCAAUGUCUGAGCUCUAUGCUCGCCCAU